rnacentral:lncRNA from 1 species
AUAUUCAAUAUCAUGAUAUUUUGUUGUACUGCAAGAAAAAAGAAAGAAAGUUAUACUUAAGGGGAUGACAAGGUUCUAGUUAUAAUAAUUUCUAUAGAUUAUGUCAUACAAAAAUUUUGAUACGGCUUCUCCUCUACAAUUCAUUGCAUAAAGAAUUUAAAAAAGAGAAACAAAAGUGAAGUAUGUAAAUUUAAAGUGGAACGCAAAGUAAGAAACCAUUACAAUUGUGUAGAAAGUUUGAAGUAGACUUUGUGAUAAGAACGUAGGAUAAUGAAUCAAAUCCUGAAUUGAUAAUUUUGGAGUAACUAAUCUCCACUCUUAUCAUCCAAGAACAAAGCACAUAAACUCUAUUCCUCUUUACACAUCACUGAUCACACAAAAGAUGAUCACGCUCUACCAUAAGACUAUCUAUACAAGGACUACUCUCUUUUUUUUCCAGAAUUGAAUCGCAAAUUAACCACGCUCCUCUUCUAUUUUCUGCCAAAUGAAUCACUGACCUUUUACAAUUUCCCCAAAUACAUUCCCAAUUGUUAAACGUAGGAUAAUGAAUCAAAUCACUGGUUUUAAAAUGGAUCAUUGCUACCACUCUCUUUACAUAGUUGUUGUUAAGUAAUCCAAUCAGUUUUGCUAGUAUAGAGAGAACUUGUUGCGUGUUAUUCAGGCUCUCA